rnacentral:misc_RNA from 1 species
AAGUCGUAACAAGGUUUCCGUAGGUGAACCUGCGGAAGGAUCAUUGAACUCCUCACCUCACCUGCCGCGAAAGCCGCAGGUGCAAAACGAACAACUGUUGACAAUGGAUAUCUUGGUUCUC